CAGUAGCCACGGGAAUACGAAGGGGGCUAGCGUUACUCGGAAUUACUGGGCGUAAAGGGCGCGUAGGCGGCACGAUUAGUCAGGCGUGAAAUUCCUGGGCUCAACCUGGGGACUGCGCUUGAUACGGUCGAGCUAGAGGAUGGAAGAGGGUCGUGGAAUUCCCAGUGUAGAGGUGAAAUUCGUAGAUAUUGGGAAGAACACCAGUGGCGAAGGCGGCUCACUGGACGCGUAUUGACGCUGAGGUGCGAAAGCGUGGGGAGCAAACAGGAUUAGAUACCCGCGUAGUCCCUGUCUCUUAUAC
rnacentral:rRNA from 1 species